rnacentral:rRNA from 1 species
UACGAAGGGGGCUAGCGUUGCUCGGAAUCACUGGGCGUAAAGGGUGCGUAGGCGGGUCUUUAAGUCAGGGGUGAAAUCCUGGAGCUCAACUCCAGAACUGCCUUUGAUACUGAAGAUCUUGAGUUCGGGAGAGGUGAGUGGAACUGCGAGUGUAGAGGUGAAAUUCGUAGAUAUUCGCAAGAACACCAGUGGCGAAGGCGGCUCACUGGCCCGAAACUGACGCUGAGGCACGAAAGCGUGGGGAGCAACAGG